CCCAUUUAAGAACUGACUCCCAAGGAGGAAGGAUCUCCAGAUAGAGAUCUAUCUGGAACCUCUUGGAACCCUUCUGUGAGCUUAGGACAUGGUAGAUGAAGCGGAGUCCCUGCCUUGGAACUGCAGAUUGAACAAGUACAUUCACCUCAUCUAUAAAGCACUGCUUCAUCAGGAACAUUUGCUGUAUUUUCCCUAUGAAGCAGGAAUGAAGGCAGUAAGUUAAGAGAAAUUAAAGGCAAUAUCAUUGCUUUUAUUAUUAUUUUUUUCUCUGCAACAACUCCAUUUUAUGUAAUGAGAGGAUCUCUUUUUUCUUUUUUUCUCUAAAUGUUCAGUACGCACAAUGGAACAUUUGCUAGGCAAAAGUUGUUUCUAAAG
ensembl:lncRNA